CCACGAGAGUUUGUAACACCCGAAGCCGGUGGAGUAACCUUUUAGGAGCUAGCCGUCGAAGGUGGGACAAAUGAUUGGGGUGAAGUCGUAACAAGGUAGCCGUAUCGGAAGGUGCGGCUGGAUCACCUCCUUUCUAAGGA
rnacentral:rRNA from 1 species